GGAGGGGUGGCCGAGAGGCUGAAGGCGGCGGUUUGCUAAACCGUUAUACGGCGAAAGUUGUAUCGUGAGUUCGAAUCUCAUCCCCUCCGCCA
rnacentral:tRNA from 1 species